rnacentral:lncRNA from 1 species
AUGAAGACAACCCGGAGCCAUAAAGGGAAAACUUCGGAUUUGGAAGUGGGUCGAUUUGGACCCAGGAGCCCAGGCCAGCUGCAGAUUCGGGCGGGGCCGCAAUCCUCGGGUCACCGGCGGCGUUUCUCUGCUGGCUCCUCGUCACUGCCGCCGUCCAGGGGCUCCAGCGGUCGAUGGGGAUGGGAGGUCCUCGGUAGACACUUGCUCCCCGGGGCCGCGCGAGGCCUUGACAGAUUUCGGGCGUGCAGGGGCGGAGAGGAGCCUCCUGCGUCUCCGAGGCGAGCGACCUAUUCCCGCCCGCGGGCUCGUGGGGCGCGGAGGGGCUGGAGCUCGGCCGCCGGAGAAAGGAAGCCCCCGGGAGCGAGGCCUGGCUUUCGCGGCUUUGAAAACUUUCCAGCGCGCGUGCCACGGCGACGCGCAGCGGCUGCGCCGGGGCCCCGGCGGCCCGCGCCUCCCGCGGGCAACUUUUCGGCCUUUCGGUGGCCUGUCACUCUCGCCGGCCGACGCGCCUCCCCCUGGGCUCGCGCGGCCGGAGCGCCCUCCCUCUCGGCGAGGAUCUGCCCCAGCGCCGGCGGCUCCAGUGCCCGCUCGGCGCUCGCCCUGCCCGCGCCCCCCGCCGCCCGGCUGCCCCGCGCCUCGCUCGCAACCUGGCCCGGCCGCGCCCCGCGCCCUGAGCGCCGCGAGCCCCGGGCGGCCCCUGCAGCGGGGGGCGGGGAACGGAGGAGGGGACCCGCCGCCGGGGGCCGGCUGCUGGCUCCCGGCCGACCGUUCGCCAAUGGUCCAGAGCGACCUGUCCAAGUCGCCUCCCACAGCGGCGGCGGCGGUGGCGCAAGAGAUCCCGAUGGACCUGCCGGAGAACGCGGCUCCCGCGGGGGCGCUCGGAGCGGCCGCACAGGUAGCGAGAUCGCCGCGCCCGCCCCUUUCUUUGUGAGCCGCCCGGGCGCCGAGCUCCGUCUCUCCUGGCGCCGCCUCUGCCCGGAUCCCUCGCCCGGCCGCUCGCUCCGGCCUGGGUCUCCCCCUCCGCCGCCUUCUCCUCCCCCCGCGCGUGGCCACCCCCUUCUCCCCUGCGGGCGCCGGCGCCCCUGCCCCUCUCCGCCUCCCGUUCCCCCCGCCCCCCCCACCCCCCGCGCCACGGGCUCUUCUCCGGCUUCCAUUUUCCUCGGCUUCCCCGAAGCCCGAGGGAGGGAAGGGGCGGGGGAGACCUCGGGGUCCUCGGAGGCUGCCGCGGCCAGCCCUCGUCGCCCCUUCCCGGGAGAGGCACAUGGAGAGCCAUGGACCAGGCGAGCGGACUGGACCUGCUCAAGAUCUCAUAUGGAAAAGGAGCCAGAAGGAAAAACAGAUUUAAAGGAUCCGAUGGGAGCACUUCUUCUGACACUACCUCAAAUAGUUUCGUUCGCCAGCACAGACAAACGAUGAUCCGCCUCCAGCCAUCCGUUCCCUCCUUGCAACAUCAAGGGCGCCAACG